GCUCAUGGGGUGUGAUCAGUCAGCAGAGCCUGAGACUCUUAAUCUCAGGGUCGUGGGUUCGAACCCCACUCCAGGCA